UACGUAGGGUGCGAGCGUUGUCCGGAAUUAUUGGGCGUAAAGAGCUCGUAGGCGGCUUGUUGCGUCGGAUGUGAAAGCCCGGGGCUUAACUCCGGGUCUGCAUUCGAUACGGGCAGGCUAGAGUUCGGUAGGGGAGAUCGGAAUUCCUGGUGUAGCGGUGAAAUGCGCAGAUAUCAGGAGGAACACCGGUGGUGAAGGCGGAUCUCUGGGCCGAUACUGACGCUGAGGAGCGAAAGCGUGGGGAGCGAACAGG
rnacentral:rRNA from 1 species